rnacentral:tRNA from 1 species
GGGCGAAUAGCUCAGCGGUAGAGCGCUUCCCUUACAAGGAAGUGGUCGUAGGUUCAAAUCCUGCUUCGCCCACCA